UCAUACAAUAAUAUCAUUUCA
rnacentral:piRNA from 1 species